AAGUCGUAACAAGGUUUCCGUAGGUGAACCUGCGGAAGGAUCAUUAACGAAUUGGCUGGAUUGUGCUGACCCUCGUGGUACCGUGCACGUCCAAUUUCAUCCAAUACACCUGUGCACCUUUGACCUGGCAGCGUCCGCUUCAUCGCGCGCGAAAGGGUAUUUUACACACUUUUUGUUAUGUAUGUGAUAAAGCAUUAGGCGCUCAGCGUCGAAUAAUAAACAACUUUCAACAACGGAUCUCUUGGCUCUC
rnacentral:misc_RNA from 1 species